rnacentral:rRNA from 1 species
CCUACGGGUGGCAGCAGUGGGGAAUAUUGCGCAAUGGGGGAAACCCUGACGCAGCAACGCCGCGUGAAGGAAGAAGGCCUUCGGGUUGUAAACUUUUUUGACAGGGGAAGAAAGAAAUGACUGUACCCUGAAAACAAGCCACGGCUAACUACGUGCCAGCAGCCGCGGUAAUACGUAGGUGGCGAGCGUUGUCCGGAAUUACUGGGUGUAAAGGGCGUGUAGGCGGGAAGGCAAGUCAGAUGUGAAAUACCCAGGCUUAACCUGGGGGGUGCAUCUGAAACUGUUUUUCUUGAGUACUGGAGAGGAAAGUGGAAUUCCUAGUGUAGCGGUGAAAUGCGUAGAUAUUAGGAGGAACACCAGUGGCGAAGGCGGCUUUCUGGACAGAAACUGACGCUGAGGCGCGAAAGCGUGGGGAGCAAACAGGAUUAGAUACCCCUGUAGUC